rnacentral:rRNA from 1 species
CGGCGUGCUUAACACACGCAAGUCGCGCGUGAAAGGACUUCGGUCCGAGUAAAGCGGCGCACGGGUGAGUAACGCGUGGAUGAUCUACCCAUGAGUUAGGAAUAACGGCUGGAAACGGUCGCUAAUACCAAAUACGCUCCGAUUUCAACUUCGGGGGGAAAGGUGGCCUCUGCUUGCAAGCUACUGCUCAUGGAUGAGUCCGCGUCCCAUUAGCUAGUUGGUGGGGUAACGGCCCACCAAGGCGACGAUGGGUAGCCGGUCUGAGAGGAUGACCGGCCACACUGGGACUGGAACACGGCCCAGACUCCUACGGGAGGCAGCAGUGGGGAAUAUUGCGCAAUGGGCGAAAGCCUGACGCAGCGACGCCGCGUGAGGGAUGAAGGUCCUCGGAUCGUAAACCUCUGUCAGGAGGGAAGAACCGCCACGGUGCUAAUCAGCCGUGGUCUGACGGUACCUCCAAAGGAAGCACCGGCUAACUCCGUGCCAGCAGCGGC